UGAUUCUAUUUGUAUUUUGAU
rnacentral:piRNA from 1 species